rnacentral:misc_RNA from 1 species
CAACCCUUAAGCCCUGUUGCUUAGCGUUGGGAGCCUACGAUAGUAGCUCCCCAAAGUUAGUGGCGGAGUCGGUCUCACACUCUAGACGUAGUAAAUUUCUCUCGUCUGUAGUUGGGCCGGUCCCCUGCCGUAAAACCCCCCAAUUUUAAU